UGGGGAAUUUUGGACAAUGGGCGAAAGCCUGAUCCAGCCAUGCCGCGUGAGUGAAGAAGGCCUUCGGGUUGUAAAGCUCUUUUAGCCGGGAAGAAAGAGUUGCAAUGAAUAAUUGUGAUUUAUGACGGAACCGACAGAAGAAGCACCGGCUAACUACGUGCCAGCAGCCGCGGUAAUACGCAGGGGGCGAGCGUUAAUCGGAAUUACUGGGCGUAAAGGGUGCGCAGGCGGUCUUGCAAGUCAGAUGUGAAAGCCCCGGGCUUAACCUGGGAAUUGCGUUUGAAACUACAAGGCUAGAGUGCAGCAGAGGGGAGUGGAAUUCCAUGUGUAGCAGUGAAAUGCGUAGAGAUGUGGAGGAACACCGAUGGCGAAGGCAGCUCCCUGGGUUGACACUGACGCUCAUGCACGAAAGCGUGGGGAGCAAACA
rnacentral:rRNA from 1 species